UCUGAUAACUGUGCUAUUGGAGAACUGC
rnacentral:sRNA from 1 species